CUGAAUAACUGGAAUUCACAGGCACUUCAGCUGAACUCUGUCACUCUCAUACAAAAUCUCUGUUUUUUUUCUCAGGCCUCCUGUGAGUGUGCCAUACAGUGAAUCCCAUGUCUUCAGAAGGUUAUGGCCACACCAUGCAAAGCAUCUGCAAAAUCCUGACUUCUGAGAUAACCCGAAAACCUAUGGAGUUGGGAGCUUCAGUUGGUUUUCUUUAACCUUUGGCAGCAUUACAUGUGUGUCUCCUAAUUUAUGUCCAUUCUCCUCAUAAAAUAAAAAAAAAAAAAAACAAAA